rnacentral:rRNA from 1 species
AGAACGAACGCUGGCGGCAUGCCUAAUACAUGCAAGUCGAACGAACUCUUCGGAGUUAGUGGCGCACGGGUGCGUAACGCGUGGGAAUCUGCCCCUUGGUUCGGAAUAACAGUUGGAAACGACUGCUAAUACCGGAUGAUGACGAAAGUCCAAAGAUUUAUCGCCAAGGGAUGAGCCCGCGUAGGAUUAGCUAGUUGGUGAGGUAAAGGCUCACCAAGGCAACGAUCCUUAGCUGGUCUGAGAGGAUGAUCAGCCACACGUGGACUGAGACACGGCCAGACUCCUACGGGAGCAGUCGAGUAGGAAUAUGGACAAGUGGGACAAAGCCUGAUCC